rnacentral:tRNA from 1 species
GCACCCGUAGCUCAGCUGGAUAGAGUAGUUGGCUUCGAACCAAUUGGUCGGGGGUUCGAAUCCCUCCGGGUGCA